GUGCUGACUUCAGCAACACCUGUACUAAAAUUGGAGCAAUACAGAGAUGAUGAGGAUGGCCCUUGCACAAGGAUGAUGUGCAAAUCUGUGAAGCGACCAUUUUUUUU